CACGUAGGGUGCGAGCGUUGUCCGGAAUUAUUGGGCGUAAAGAGCUCGUAGGCGGUGUGUCGCGUCGGCCGUGAAAACCUGCAGCUUAAUUGUGGGCUUGCGGUCGAUACGGGGCAUCACUGGAGUUCGGCAGGGGAGACUGGAAUUCCUGGUGUAGCGGUGAAAUGCGCAGAUAUCAGGAGGAACACCAAUGGCGAAGGCAGCACUCUGGGGACG
rnacentral:rRNA from 1 species